ACGGCGCUGUCCGAGCCACCCAAGUGGACAGAGCUAAACUCCGGAAUUGGGCCUUGAAGGCUAUAAAGUCACAUGGGUGCGAAGACGAGCUCAACGAAGAGAUUAAAGACGAUGACUUGAUCUGCUACUAUUGCAUCUGGCAGUCCCAAUUUAUGUCACGUCACGACUGCGCGGUGGACGAGUCUUUGGCUUGGUGGCCGAAAAAACUACGCUUGGAUGCUGCAGCAAAAGAGCUGAGGAAGAAUUUUUUCGAAGGAGAAGUGGAUCAGUGCUGGGUCCAAUUGGAGACAAUAACUCUGCCUGAAAAUGCUGACAGCGAUCAAAAGACUGACAAAAAGUCCGAACCGGAGACUCUAGAUCCAAACAAAUGCAUAUAUUGCAAAAAAUCGUUAGCAAAUGUGAGAAAACACAUCAGGCUUAUGCAUAAAGAUGCAAUAAGGU